GACGAACGCUGGCGGCGUGCUUAACACAUGCAAGUCGAACGGAAAGGCCCUUUCGGGGGUACUCGAGUGGCGAACGGGUGAGUAACACGUGGGUGAUCUGCCCUGCACUUCGGGAUAAGCUUGGGAAACUGGGUCUAAUACCGGAUAGGACCAUGGCCUGCAUGGGUUGUGGUGGAAAGCUUUUGCGGUGUGGGAUGGGCCCGCGGCCUAUCAGCUUGUUGGUGGGGUGAUGGCCUACCAAGGCGACGACGGGUAGCCGGCCUGAGAGGGUGUCCGGCCACACUGGGACUGAGAUACGGCCCAGACUCCUACGGGAGGCAGCAGUGGGGAAUAUUGCACAAUGGGCGCAAGCCUGAUGCAGCGACGCCGCGUGGGGAUGACGGCCU
rnacentral:rRNA from 1 species